GCCUCUGUGGUGUAGUGGUAGGGAACGCGCCCCACGGUAUGGAUGGAACGCGGGUUCGAUUCCCUGCUGAGGCC